UGUGCGGGGAGGGGGAGGAUCCAUCAUGGCGUCGAUGCAGAAACGAUUACAAAAAGAACUAUUGGCAUUGCAAAAUGAUCCACCUCCAGGAAUGACUCUAAAUGAAAAGAGUGUUCAAAAUUCUAUUACACAGUGGAUUGUAGACAUGGAAGGUGCUCCAGGAACACUAUAUGAAGGGGAAAAAUUUCAGCUUCUAUUUAAGUUCAGUAGUCGGUAUCCUUUUGAUUCGCCUCAGGUCAUGUUUACUGGAGAUAAUAUUCCUGUUCAUCCUCAUGUUUAUAGCAAUGGUCAUAUCUGUUUAUCGAUUCUAACAGAAGACUGGUCGCCAGCUCUCUCAGUGCAGUCUGUUUGUCUUAGCAUUAUUAGUAUGCUUUCCAGCUGCAAAGAAAAGGUCUUUUCUUCUGUUGCAGAGGCGACCUCCAGAUAACUCAUUUUAUGUAAGAACAUGUAACAAGAAUCCAAAGAAAACAAAAUGGUGGUAUCAUGAUUACUACCCUUGAAUGGAAAUACGUGUGGACCUUUUCAUGGUGGAGUGCAGAAGCACUGUUCCUUACAUGCAGCUCCUCUUGAGACAAAGCUAUCAGUAACUCUUUAGAAUGCUGUAAUGGAUAUCAAGGAAGGAAUUUGGAUAAUAGUGAGGUGUUUCCUCAUUUCUCCAAGUUAUCUGUUGUAACAUCUGAAGCAAGUAGGUUCUUUAAAAAAAUAAAUCACAAAACAAACAAAAAAACCACCAAGAUGUAGUGCUUUCGUUUCUCGUAGAUGACCAAAUGGUUCCUUGUCAUAGUUCUUUCGAGUUUUGAAUGAAGAGUUUCAGAUUGAAGAUUUUUGCUUGCUUGGAGCUGUAUGAAGAGAGUUUCUGUUACUUUUUUAGCUUAUGUCAGGACAGAAGCUUCUGUUGCCUCAUAUCAAUAAUUGCUUUCAGUUUUGUGCAGUUUUUUUAUUCAAGAGAUGAUGGCUUCUGUUUCAGAAAAAGGCAUUUGGUACCUAAAAAACCUUGUUUUGAUGAAAAAUUAGUUUUAUUUAAUUAAUAUCUCAUAUUCUGUGAUAUGUUCUGGAUGUUUGAUUUUUAGUUAUUUAUUUGAAAGUCUGACAAAAUAUAGGUCAUUGUCUAAAGUCUUACAGGUAUGGUGUAAGGAAACCAUAAAAUUCGCAUGUCAGUAAUUAAAGUUGAAAGAACAGAUUAAACAAAUGUCUGUCAGGAAAGGCUGAAAUAUAAGAAUCCUCUUCUUGGGAUUAUUAUUUUUUGUAUAUGUAAAUUUGUUAAAAUGAAUGAUGUUUAAAAAAAAACGGGGCGGGGGGGACCACUUCUGGCACUCGGGUUUCUUAAAAGAUGUCCUGUUGUUACUAAAAACUUUACAAUACUGCAGCUACAUAAUUUAUAGCUUUGUUGAGGGGAGGCCGGUAUAGUUGUUACCUCCUCUGGUAAAGCAAUUCAGCAUUAUGUUGUGUGUGUGCACUCAAAUCCUGAUCAUUCCAAAAAAAUAUAUUUGAAUUAAAUUUAUUUUAAAGCCAGUUACUUUUAAUCCAAAUCACUCAAUCCAGUUAGGAUUUGCUUUCUUCAGCAGUGAUACCUGAACAGUUGAAUGUUGAACUUGAUACAGGGAAGUAAGCUGCAUUUCUGAUAUUUGACAUUUCAGCUGCAGCUGCACAGCACCUUGGGAGGAGAGACUUGGGAUUUGGUUUGUUUGCAGGUACUUGCUGGCCUGUUGUUUCCAGGACCUCUACCAACUUUACAAACCAUCAGGCUUUAAAAUACCCUAAUUGGAAGAGCAGAAAUAUUAAUGAGCCUUCUUUUACUAUAAUAAAAUAUAAUUCAGAGUACUUUUAUUUCAUUUUACUGAUAAUAGUAAUGCAGGAUAUUCUGUUCACUUGCUGUAUUUUUUUUCUCCAGAUUUUCAGUACUUUUUAAAGCAGUGUUUGAGAGCAUUUGAGCAGUUGAUUCAAUUUAAGAAGUUCUCUCUGAAGCUUCUUAAAGUGAGGGUUUUUUAAAUUACAAACUAAGAGCAUUUUCAGUAACUGAAGUUCCAAAGCAGUUGCUGUCAUGAAGGAGCUUCCUUAGAAACCUGUGUGAUUUUCAUACAGAUAAUUAUUUUGUAUUUAAAAAAUAAAAAAGAAAUGUAAAAUCAGUUGAUCAUGCAGUAUACAGUAUCAUUACAGAGAUCAGCCCCUGUCCACUGUCUUUUUAGUGUAACUCCAUAGGAGCUCUAAAGGUGUGUGUCAGUGAUGGUAGGUUAGACUGUAUUUAACCCCUUUCAGCUUACAUACAUGCUAUCUGUAAGCGUAACUUUGUCCUUCGAAGUGUUAUUUUUUUCUUGACUUCUGGAGAAAGAGCUUCUCAUAGGAGGAGACCCUGCUUUUCUGGAAUUAGUUCAGUGAAAACCAUUAUGAUAGCCUCAAAAAAAAUAUUAGAAUCUGAAAUCCUGUGACAGCACAACUUCCCUUAUCGUAGAAUCACAGAAUCAUAGAAUGGCUAGGGUUGGAAGGGACUUAAAAAAUAAUCUAGUUCAAACACCUUACAUGGGCAGGGACACCUCCCACUAGAUCAGGUUGCUCAGAGCCCCUUCCAACCUGGCCUUGAACACUUCCAGGGAUACGGCCUCCACAGCCUCCCUGGGCAACCUGUUCCAGUGUCUCACCACCCUCACACUGAAGAAUUCUUCCAAAUGUCUAGCCUAAAUCUCCCCUCUUCCAGUUUUGAUCCAUUAUCCCUCGUCCUAUCACUACAUCCCCUUGAAAAAAGGCCCUUCCCAGCUUUCCUGUAGGCCCCUUUCAGAUAUUGGAAGACCACUGUAAGGUCCCCCCAGAGCCUUCUCUUCUCCAGGCUCAACAACCCUAACUUUGUCGACCUGUCUUCAUAGGAGAGGUGUUCCAGCCCUCUGAUCAUCUCCAUGGCCCUCCUCUGGAUUCUCUCCAACAGCUCCAUGUCCUUCUUAUGUUGGGGCCUCCAGAACUGGACACAGUACUCCAGGUGGGGUCUUGCAAGAGUUGAGUACAGGAGGAGAAGCACUUCUGCUGGCCUUCUGGCCGCAUUUCUUUUGAUGCAGCCCAGGACGAGACUGGCUUUCUGGGCUUCAGGUGCACAUUGUUUGCUUAUGUUGAGCUUCUCAUGCAGCAUCAUUCCCACAUCCUUCUCUGGACUGUUUUCAAUCCCUUCUCCCCCCAGCCUGCAUUUGUGCUUGCCCCAACCGAGGUGCAGAACCUUGCACUUGGCCUUGAACUUUAUGCAGUUUGCAUGACCCCACUUCUCAAGGCUGUGAAAGCCCCUCUGGAUGGUAUCCCUCCCUUCCAGUGUGUUGAGCUCACCACACACUUUGGUGUCAUCAGCAAACUUGCUGAGGGUGCACUCAAUGCCACUGUCCGUGUCAUGGACAAAGAUGUUAAAUAGCACUUGUCUCUGUCUUUAGGUACUUUAAAUCUCCAUUAUAAGACCUUAAAACUUCUGUCUUGUCUUCAGCAGGUGGCAGCCUAUUCUCUUGGAGGCCUUUAGAGUGCUUUCUGCCAAGUAGGUCAGAGUUAAAUCAGUUCAGAAUCACAUCCUAGGCCUUAUAUCUUUCCAGGAAUGCAAUGAUACCUGGCUGAUGCCAAUGCAGUUGUCCAGGGCAUUUUAUCAGUAGAGAGAAAAUCAAGCGAGGUUCCUGCUGCUAUUCAGUGUCUUCUUUUAGCUCACUGGAACUGAAAAGGAGGAAUUUGUACUCCUCUUCGUUCCUUUGCAGCUUCAUGAUUCACAUUCUUGCUUUGGAUCUGGCUUUGUUGUCCAAGUCUUCACUGAGAUAAUUUAGCAUGUUAAAGCAGUAGGAAACUGACUUGAGAAGAAAAAGGAAAAAUCUUUCUUCUCAAUUAGCAAACUGAAGCAGCUUGCUGCAUAAUCAAGAGUUUCCAAACUAGUGGAGGAAAUGGGAAGGAUUGUGCAAUUGGGGUUUGGGAGGUGAUCACUGAAACCUGAUUGGUAUAUUUAGACUUUUUUGCAAAACCUUGUUUUAUACAGAAGCUGAGUGACAUGCUAUGAGAAGCCUGAGAGCUGGAGAUCUGGACUGCCUAUGACAAUCUAUGGUAGGGAGUUCUGUUUUAACUCUUGUGUUCUAGUGGAAAUUCUGAAGCUGUUCCAAAGCCUUUGAGUGUUCAGUUACCUCUCUGUUCUCUCUGUUUAGAUGCUGAGAAUUUCUGUGCCCAGGAUUUUUUUUACAUUUAUUUUUAAUAACAAGGCUGCUAGCAUUGCUCUCUCUGGACAUUUUUUGGUUGCAUUUUUAUCAGACCAACACUGUAAAACCUUAAUCAAAUAUAGAGUUAGAGAUUCAGUGAAGCUGCUCAGAAAAUGCCCAGUCGUUUUCCAAAAGGAAGGCAAUUACUACAUUACUAGUCAGAUGUUCUUAAGAUUAGAUAGAAAGCCAAAUGUGGCACAGUUGUCAUCUAACACAGAAAACGCUUGAGACAGAAGUCUUGGGUGCAGAUCUCAUUUAUCUUUGUAUGCUUAAAGAACAGGACUCUUCAACUGCAGCAGAUUUUUCAAGACAAAACCACACUGUUCCUCGUCUUCCCCCUUCCUCUGAAGGUCUUGUUCAAAAGACUGUUGAGAUCUUAUGGUCUUGAACUUGACUUAUUAUUUGUACUGGAUCAGGAGAGUGUGAGAGCUGUACUUCUGACCAGUCGGUGGGUGAAUAGCUCUUGAUUAGCUCUUAUUCUGUAAACUGUCCAUGUGUCUACAGAAAACAUUCUAUGGUAGCUCUAUGUCAUAUGAACAAAAAAAGUACACCUUUAUUUGGUGUAGACAAUUUAUUGAAGAUUAGUGUUCUGAAAGGUGCAGUAUAGGAAGUAUACAUCACUAAGUAAACAAGUAACAAUGACCAAUUAAAACACCUAACCUCUAGGUAAUUUAGAGUAUAUUGAGGCUCAAGUCUUGAUUUGCAUAAGGAUUUGAGUUUAUGGGGGGGGGGGGAGGGAGGGAAAGAAACUGGGGACACCAGCUUGCACCAAUGUGUUUUGUAUCACCCUGAGUUUUCUUUCUUAUAUUUGCAAAGUAUUAUUUUAGGAUUUGGCCUCUGGAAAGGAUCCUGCUACAUGCUCUGCACCAAAAUGCUGCUUUCUGUCAUAGAGCUUUAUUUCUCAGUUUUGAUCUCCCCAGUAGUUUCAUGUGUAGGUACAUGCUAAAGAUGGUUAAUAAAUCUUGCUUAGACUAUGUGUUAACCUAGGUUGACUUUCGUGUAUAUUCAUCUUGAUGUGCAUGGUAUAUUUUACCUGCCUUGAUAAAAUAUCAAGGUUGUUAUGAUUUAUAACUUUUCAUUUAAAAGUGCAGGAUUCUGUCAGUUUCUACAUUUUCAUUCUUUUUUUUCCUUAAAGACAACACAUUAGCAAUAAUCUGGAGAAAAGGAAGUGAGAAUUUGCUAGCUUGUGUCUUGAAGGGGAAACGUAUAGGCUGCUUCCUUUCAAAUUUGUUUUUUUGUUAUCUAAGGUGUUUUUCUGUUUUGCUUUGGUUUCUUGUAUAAAAUGUAUGCAUAAAACAUAAAAAAUAAUAUACUUAGUUCCAUAGUGAACUGUAAGUGUAGUGAGAAAACUGGAAAAUCUUGGAAUGAUUUUCACCUAUCUGUAAAGAGGCAGUGCUUCGUAGUUUGCUUAUGUUUUGUCUUGAUAUGGCUUUGAAGGAUCAAAACAUUUUCAGACAUAGGGGGUUUUUCUGUAACUUCUGUGUAGACAUGUGGGCAUUGCACUUGUUUAAAAUUUUGGCGAAAUUUAAAAGUGUGCAUGUGUCAUAGAUGUUCCCUUUUUAAGCAUUUUUAGUUUCUGUUCGUGUAGUAGAUUGGUACUAUUCUCUCAUUAAAUGAGUACUGACUUUCUGAAAUGAUGUGGAGGUUUACUCUCACUUAAAUUGUCAAAUGUUCAGUCAUCACAAAACAUGCUUUUGGUAAAUUAUUGGAUGGGUGGGAAAGAUCUGGCUCAAUUAAGUGCUAUACAGCAGCAUUUUAGCAGAAACAUCCAGUUAAUGAAUUUGUGUUAAUUCUCAAAAUAUUCCAGAACUCCCCAAAUGCCUAUUGCCCUCUCACACCUGGCACAUAAUUGCAAAACUGAUGAUGAUUUGGUGACAAUGCACUAUAAGAUUUUUUUAAAAUUACGAUUAGUGUGAGAAUGUUGCAAUGUCUACUCAUUUAAAAAAAAAUUCUGAUGUCUGAAGUGCUGCAAAAUUUAUUGUCAGUUGUAUUACAUCUUUAUAUAGCAAUAGAAUUCAGUGCAGCUAUUUUUGUCAGAUUCCAUAUAUGACGGUUCGUGCUUCAUUACUGACAGAAAUGUAUAAUUUUAUUAGCUGUUCUCCAGAAACUUUUACUAAGGGCUGAAGACUUAAUUUUUACUGGAUUGUCCAGUGCUCUAAAGCCAAGCAACUUAACUUAAUCUAACAUAAAUAUGAUUUGUGACUCUUUCAAAAUACAUUGUUAUACUAUUCACUGUUGUCCUGUGGAAAAGUUACAAUGCUAGUGGCUAUAACAUCAUGUACAGCAAACUUCUUGCAUGGUAAGCUCAUCUAGAAAUGGCUACCGUGUGGGUGAAGCUGAGUAGUUAAGUUGCAUUUGAUGUAGGUGUAGGUGCAUAGAUCCUAUAUUUUCAGCCGAUGUCAUACCUAGUGUUUAACACUUUGCGUGUUCUGAAGCUGCCAUCUCUGAAAGUACCACACAACUCGUUCUGAGGGUUGUUGCUUAAAAAAUGGGUCCAGUGGAGACUGAAACUAGUGUUUCCUGGCAGGAGAUAGUAUUAAUGGGAAACUGAAGGCAUCAGUAAUCCUCCAGAAAAACAUGAUUUGAGUGACAGUGCUGCCUGUUGUCCUUUCUUUUAUUGGUUCCAUUCAUGAGGCUCUAUACUUAUGAGCACGUGUAUGCAAUACUUUAGUGUUGUUCCCAUUGACUGUGAUAAACCAUUUAUGUCGUUACUGGCAACUUCUGAAACUUGCUUUUUUUUUCUGUAUGAAGAGUCUGCAUAAUGCUGUGUACAGAGAAUUUCUGUCUCUUUAUUGCCUACUGUUUGACUCCAUGUAUGACUAAGAUAUUCUUUGUUCCAAGAGAAUAAUAAUUUAAAACCUCACUAAUUUAAUAUAGGUUUAACUUACCAUAUAAUUUUAUAAUAUUGCCCAGUUGCCUUAAGUGAUUUUUUCACUUCCACUAUCUGGUAAAAAUUCAUGUCAUUUUCAGCUUGUUUCAGACUUUUUCCAGUGUCCUGCAAUAAAAGGAGUAUUUUAUGA